rnacentral:rRNA from 1 species
CCUACGGGAGGCAGCAGUGAGGAAUAUUGGUCAAUGGGCGCGAGCCUGAACCAGCCACGUAGCGUGAAGGAUGACUGCCCUACGGGUUGUAAACUUCUUCUAUAGGGGAAUAAAGUGAGUCACGUAUGCAUUUUUGUAUUUACUUUAUCAGUAAGGAUCGGCUAACUCCGCUCCAGCAGCCGCGGUAAUACGGAGGGGCCGAGCGUUAUCCUGAUUUAUUGGGUUUAAAGGGAGCGUAGAUGGGUUGUUAAGUCAGUUGUGAAAGUUUGCGGCUCAACCGUAAAAUUGCAAUUGAAACUGGCAGACUGGAGUACAGUAGAGGUAGGCGGAAUUCGUGGUGUAGCGGUGAAAUGCUUAGAUAUCACGAAGAACUCCGAUUGCGAAGGCAGCCUACUGGACUGCAACUGACAUUGAGGCUCGAAAGUGUGGGUAUCAAACAGGAUUAGAUACCCGUGUAGUC